ACGCUAGCGGCAGCCUAACACAUGCAAGUCGAACGGUAACUUUUGGUGCUUGCACCGAAAGACGAGUGGCGAACGGGUGCGUAACGCGUAUGCAAUCUGCCUUUUACUAGGGUAUAGCCCAGAGAAAUUUGGAUUAAUCCCCUAUAAUAUCAUUUUUUCGCAUGAUUAGAUGAUUAAAGCUUCGGCGGUAAAAGAUGAGCAUGCGUCCUAUUAGUUUGUAGGUGAGGUAACGGCUCACCUAGACUACGAUAGGUAGGGGCCCUGAGAGGGGGACCCCCCACACUGGUACUGAGACACGGACCAGACUCCUACGGGAGGCAGCAGUGAGGAAUAUUGGACAAUGGACGAAAGUCUGAUCCAGCUAUGCCGCGUGCAGGAUGACGGCCCUACGGGUUGUAAACUGCUUUUAUACAGGAAGAAACACCCCGACGUGUCGGGGCUUGACGGUACUGUAAGAAUAAGGAUCGGCUAACUCCGUGCCAGCAGCCGCGGUAAUACGGAGGAUUCGAGCGUUAUCCGGAAUCAUUGGGUUUAAAGGGUCCGCAGGCGGUUUUUUAAGUCAGAGGUGAAAUCCUGCAGCUCAACUGUAGAAUUGCCUUUGAUACUGAAAGACUUGAGUUAUUGUGAAGUGGUUAGAAUGUGUGGUGUAGCGGUGAAAUGCAUAGAUAUCACACAGAAUACCGAUUGCGAAGGCAGAUCACUAACAAUAUACUGACGCUCAGGGACGAAAGCGUGGGUAGCGAACAGGAUUAGAUACCCUGGUAGUCCACGCCGUAAACGAUGGAUACUAGCUGUAUGUCUACCUCAGGUAGAUGUGUGGCCAAGCGAAAGUGAUAAGUAUCCCACCUGGGGAGUACGAUCGCAAGAUAACCU
rnacentral:rRNA from 1 species